UCGUUGGGUCCUUGAGGACUUAGUGACGCAGCUAACGCAAUAAGUAGACCGCCUGGGGAGUACGGCCGCAAGGUUAAAACUCAAAUGAAUUGACGGGGGCCCGCACAAGCGGUGGAGCAUGUGGUUUAAUUCGAUGCAACGCGAAGAACCUUACCUGGUCUUGACAUAUCUAGAAUCCUGCAGAGAUGCGGGAGUGCCUUCGGGAAUUAGAAUACAGGUGCUGCAUGGCUGUCGUCAGCUCGUGUCGUGAGAUGUUGGGUUAAGUCCCGCAACGAGCGCAACCCUUGUCCUUAGUUACCAGCGGGUUAAGCCGGGAACUCUAAGGAUACUGCCAGUGACAAACUGGAGGAAGGCGGGGACGACGUCAAGUCAUCAUGGCCCUUACGACCAGGGCUACACACGUGCUACAAUGGUAGGUACAGAGGGCAGCUACACAGCGAUGUGAUGCGAAUCUCAAAAAGCCUAUCGUAGUCCAGAUUGGAGUCUGCAACACGACUCCAUGAAGUAGGAAUCGCUAGUAAUCGCGGAUCAGAAUGCCGCGGUGAAUACGUUCCCGGGCCUUGUACACACCGCC
rnacentral:rRNA from 1 species